rnacentral:rRNA from 1 species
UGUAGCUUCAAUACCUCUUAAAGGCACCAAAUCUCAGGCACCAUGGAAGCUAAGCAAAAUCGGUCCUGGUUAGUAUUUGAAUGGGAGACCACCCACAAAUAUCAGGUGAUGUAAGCU